CAGGUUCUCCAGGCAGGUUCAGUCACCAGGUUCUAGUCAGGUUCUCUUGCCAAUUUCUGUAGUCAGGUUCAGUCCAGGAUCUUUUGCCAUGUUCUCUCCAGCGAAGUUCUUCUGUCUCUAGUUCUGUGUUCUAAGUUCUGUGUUCUAAGUUCUGUGUCUUGCUGUUUUGUUACAUCUGUAUUUAUACCAGUUGAUUCAAUCCUAUCAAUCUCUAUUACAAAGGUUAGGGCGUUUCUUAUCUCCAUUCCAGGGAGUAAAGAUUAUGUAGCUUAAGCAUGA